rnacentral:rRNA from 1 species
ACCUGAUGACGACCGGCAAACGGGUGCGGAACACGUACGCAACCUUCCCAUAACUGGUGAAUAGCCUUUCGAAAGAGAGAUUAAUACACCGUAACAUAACGAAGAGGCAUCUCUUUGUUAUUAUAGACUUCGGUCGGUUUUGGAUGGGCGUGCGCCUGAUUAGGUAGUUGGCGGGGUAACGGCCCACCAAGCCUGCGAUCAGUAACUGGUGUGAGAGCACGACCAGCCACACGGGCACUGAGACACGGGCCCGACUCCUACGGGAGGCAGCAGUAAGGAAUAUUGGUCAAUGGACGAAAGUCUGAACCAGCCAUGCCGCGUGAAGGAUGACGGCCCUCUGGGUUGUAAACUUCUUUUAUCUGGGACGAAAAAAGGGCUUUCUAGCUCACUUGACGGUACCAGAGGAAUAAGCACCGGCUAACUCCGUGCCAGCAGCCGCGGUAAUACGGAGGGUGCAAGCGUUAUCCGGAUUUACUGGGUUUAAAGGGUGCGUAGGUGGGUAGGUAAGUCAGUGGUGAAAUCUCCGAGCUUAACUCGGAAACUGCCAUUGAUACUAUCUAUCUUGAAUAUCCUGGAGGUGAGCGGAAUAUGUCAUGUAGCGG